rnacentral:lncRNA from 1 species
GCACCUUCUCUCUUCAGCUAGCCACUGCGGAGUACCGAAAGCUUGCUAUUUGUCCUAUACGUUGUAAAUUACCUUUAGAAAGUUCUGAACUAUCAAACAUAAUUCUGUUUUUCUCUACCAGAUGUUGAACUGACCCAGUGUCCAUGUGUUCCCUACAAAGGUUCAUACACAUACACACACACACACACACACACACACACACACACACACACGUGUGUGUGUGUGUGUAUGAAAAUCUUUAUAAUUUAUAAUAUAUUUAUAUUAUAUACCAAUGUAAUAUAUUAAUAAUAUAUAGAUUAAAAUACUACAUUUUAUUGGCUGAUGAUAGCGAGUACUGCUGCCUAGUGGUAGGCAAGGGCUGGUGACUUCACAGGUCCCCCCUUCCUAACUCGUAAUGAUGUUGAUUUUUAGACUAAUUUUGCCAUUCAUUAGCAAAUGAGCCCCUAGAAGACUCUCCAAGUUUGUCCUAUAAGCUCAGGGCAGUCAUUGUCUCCUUCCCUGUAGGUGAAUAAGAAGUGCCCUCGUGGCAGGCACACCAAGAAUUCGCAUGCAGGUCUCUUUUGUCCUUGUGUUUGGCAUCAGUAAACCAAAUCUACACAGGAACACCAGGGAGUGACUCUAUAUUUGGGUCCGACUGGUAUUUUUUUUUUAUUAUUUUCAUGUAAGGUGAAGAAAAAGCUCUCAAAUGCUUUACAACUUUUCUGUGCUGAGAGUCUCCAUUGUCAAAAGUAAAGGCUGUUUCCCAGCAUCCAUUAGGCUCCGGAGAGGUCACUGUUUUCCGCUGUCAUACAUCCCUGGUAUUUGACCUUGCUCUUACUUGUCUAUAGUUAGAUACCAAGAAUAAGAAUGUCCUUAGCGGUUUCUGGUAACCAGGGGUUUCCAGGACCCCUCCAAGGCCAGCUGAGCCUCUCGGUUAUAUGUGGUAUUACAAGUAGAAUAUCACACUGUAUGCGCUGAUUUUAGACAUUUUAACAACAUAACCGGCAGACUAAUUUUGUAGACUAAAUCAGGCAGGAGGAAUUGCCUUUUCCCAUUGUUUUUGCUUUCUUUUUUAAAAAUAUGGAUUUGUUGCCAACAGUAAAAGAAACAAAGAAGCUUUUCCGUAAAGACACUGGUGUUUGUUUUCUCUGGGAAUCUGGGAAGGCAGCAGCCGAAGUUCUGUGUUUCCUCUCUGGCUACUCCCUUGACUGGCUGAGUGGCAGACGCUUGCCUGAGACCUGAGUGGGAGGUUGCUAAGGGAGAACCAGGACUCCCUGUAGAGCCCAGUCUUCCCAGCACUGAAGCUGAGCAUCAAGUGUCUGUAGUCACAGGGACCAUGGUCCUCAGGACCUGGCCUCCGUUAUGGUUUCUCACAGCCCCUGUAGAAACUCUCACCCUUGAAGCUGUCCGAGUUUUUCUUCUUGGUUCCAAGCUUGGGCUUUGCCCACACAGUGCCUUUGUCUGGAAUUGGUUACCUGUCAGCUUACUUGUGCAUCUCCUUAGUUCAUUUUCAAGGCCUGGUCCAAGGUCCAUUUUGGAUAGUAUCUAUGGUAACGGUCACUGCUUGUGUGACCUCUUACACAGACACCAUAACAUUUGGUUGUCCAUGUUGUGCUGUUGUGUGUUCAUUCAUGUCUUAUCCUCCUGAGAUGGUAACAUCUUAAGAUUGGAUGCUCACAGUCAGCUAUUGGAUGGAUCACAGGGCCCCCAAUAGAGGAGCUAGAGAAAGUAUCCAAGGAGCUAAAGAGAUCUGCAACCCUGUAGGUGCAACAACAUUAUGAACUAACCAGUACCCCGAAGCUCUUGACUCUAGCUGCAUAUGUAUCAAAAGAUGGCCUAGCCGGCCAUCACUGGAAAGAGAGGCCCAUUGGACACGCAAACUUUAUAUGCCCCAGUACAGGGGAAUGCCAGGGCCAAAAAGGGGGAGUGGGUGGGUAGCAGAGUGUAGGGGGGAGGGGAUGGGGGACUUUUGGGAUAGCAUUGGAAAUGUAAUUGAGG